UGGGGAAUCUUGCGCAAUGGGCGAAAGCCUGACGCAGCGACGCCGCGUGAGUGAUGAAGGCCUUCGGGUUGUAAAGCUCUGUGGGGAGGGACGAAUAAGGAGUCGUGAACAUCGGCUUCGAUGACGGUACCUCCUUAGCAAGCACCGGCUAACUCUGUGCCAGCAGCCGCGGUAAGACAGAGGGUGCAAACGUUGUUCGGAAUUACUGGGCGUAAAGCGCGUGUAGGCGGCCAGCGCAAGUCGGGUGUGAAAGCCCUGGGCUCAACCUAGGAAGUGCACUCGAAACUGCGCGGCUUGAAGUCUGGAGAGGAAGGCGGAAUUCUCGGUGUAGAGGUGAAAUUCGUAGAUAUCGAGAGGAACACCGGUGGCGAAGGCGGCCUUCUGGACAGCACUUGACGCUGAGACGCGAAAGCGUGGGGAGCAAACAGGAUUAGAUACCCUGGUAGUCCACGCCGUAAACGAU
rnacentral:rRNA from 1 species